AACGAACGCUGGCGGCAGGCCUAACACAUGCAAGUCGAACGCACCGCAAGGUGAGUGGCGCACGGGUGAGUAACACGUGGGAAUGUACCCUUUGGUUCGGAAUAACGUUUGGAAACGAACGCUAAUACCGGAUGAGCCCUACGGGGGAAAGAUUUAUCGCCGAAGGAGCAGCCCGCGUCUGAUUAGCUAGUUGGUGGGGUAAAGGCCUACCAAGGCGACGAUCAGUAGCUGGUCUGAGAGGGUGAUCAGCCACACUGGGACUGAGACACGGCCCAGACUCCUACGGGAGGCAGCAGUGGGGAAUAUUGGACAAUGGGCGGAAGCCUGAUCCAGCCAUGCCGCGUGAGUGAUGAAGGCCUUCGGGUUGUAAAGCUCUUUCGCACACGACGAUGAUGACGGUAGUGUGAGAAGAAGCCCCGGCUAACUUCGUGCCAGCCGCCGCCGUAAGAC
rnacentral:rRNA from 1 species